GUUUAUUUUCUUAUUAUUAAGGUUUGUUUAUUGUAGUUUUUAAUAAAAAUAUUUUUUAUGUUGUUUGUCUUUGUAUAUUUAUAGAAAAGAUAAGUUGAUUUAUAGUUAAUUUGUAUUGUGAAAGGUAGAUGAAAUAAAUUGAAACUUUAUUUUUAUAAAAGUAUAUUUUGUUUAUAGUACCUUGUGUAUCAGGGUUUAUUAAUAUUUAUUUAUUUAUUUAUUUAUCUCGAUUUAAUAAGAGUUAAUAAAUUAUAUUAUUUAAUGUGGAAUAAUUAUUGAUAAUAAUUUGUUAGAGAUGAAAUGUUAUUCGAUUUUUAAGAUAUCUAGUUUUUCAAGAAUUGAAUUUAAUUCAGGUAUUAAUAUUUUAAUAAUUAAAUUUUUUUAGUUGUUUUUAGUUUUUACUAAUAUAUUGGGGGAUAAGCUUAAAUAUAUAAUUUAUAUUUUAUUAUUGUUAUGAAGAUUUAUAGGGUUAGAAUUAUCCACUUUUUUAAUUUUGUUAUAAUUUAACUUUGAUUAUUUUUGAUUUUAUUAAUUUUGAGUUUUUAUUGAAAUUAAUUUCUUAAUUUGGAAGAAUUUGUAAUAAUGAUGAAAUUAGUAUAUAGUUAUUAUUUAUUUAGUAUUGGUUGGUAAGAUUAAUAUAAGGAAUUAGGCAAAUUUUAUACUCGCCUGUUUAUCAAAAACAUGUCUUCUUGUUAUAUAUAUGAAGUCUGGUCUGCCCACUGAAUUAUUGAAGGGCCGCGGUAUUUUGACCGUGCAAAGGUAGCAUAAUCAUUAGUCUUUUAAUUGGGGGCUGGAAUGAAGGGCUGCACGAGGUAUAGACUGUCUUAUUUAAAUUGUUGUUAGAAUUUAAUUUUUAAGUUAAAAAGCUUAAAUUUUUUUAGAGGACGAGAAGACCCUAUAGAACUUUAUAUAAAUUUAAUAUAGGUGGCUUUUGGUUGUUUUUAUAUUUAUUUAUAUUUAUAUUUUGUUGGGGUGAUAGGAAAAUAAUAUUAACUUUUUUUAUUAAUUUACAUUAAUUUAUGGUUAUUUGAUCCAUUUUUAGUGAUUAUAAGAUUAAGUUACCUUAGGGAUAACAGCGUAAUUUUCCCUUAGAGUUCUUAUCGACGGGAAAGCUUGCGACCUCGAUGUUGGAUUAAGAUUAAUUUUUGGUGUAGAAGCUUAAAUAUUAGGUCUGUUCGACCUUUAAAUUCUUACAUGAUCUGAGUUCAGACCGGUGUAAGCCAGGUCGGUUUCUAUCCUUAAUAUUUUGAUAUAUUUUAGUACGAAAGGACCAAAUAUUAGGAAUAUAUUUCUUUAUUUUUGAUUAUUAAUAA
rnacentral:rRNA from 1 species